rnacentral:lncRNA from 1 species
GUUAGCAUUAAUGUUUUAGGAUAAAUUUGUAACGAUCCGAUCCAAUCCACUAGCAAUAAUAACUCGUUGGGCCCAACCACCGGCCCAAAAUGCUUAAGCUCAGUUAUUAUUAUUAGUGUCUAAGUCUCUAAUAUAUCUAAUUACAUCCCCAUUCCUAUCCGAUGUGGGAUUAUUGGGGUGUGACAGACUCCCCCCGUUAAGGGUUCCUAUCCGAUGUAGGAUUAUUAGGGUGUGACAGACUCCCCCCGUUAAGGGUUCCUAUCCGAUGUAGGAUUAUUAGGGUGUGACAGACUCCCCCCGUUAAGGCCCUGACGUUCUCGUCAGUCCAGUCACACACACAGCCCAAGAUCACCAGGCGAUGUGAGACUCGUCUCGCUAGCCUUCUCAUCCAGACCCUGGCAUAGCCGGUCACCUUGUCAUUCAGACUACGGCAUAGCCUAUCACCUUGUCUUUCAAACUCUGACUCAGUCGAGACUCACCACACAUUUUCGACUGGUGAACUGGCUCUGAUACCAAAUGUAACGACCCAGCCCACUGUAAUGGUAGUAAGAGAAAGGCGAACCAGGGGAAAGGAAGAGUGAGAAGAUGGAGGUAAAAAGGGUGAAUACGCAAAUCACGGUAGUUAGAUAUUAUCGAGUCAAGCAGGUGGAGGUUAGGUGAUGGAGAAGCGGG